GCCCUGGCCGGUGUGGCUCAGUGGAUAGAGCGUCGGCCUGCGGACCGGAGGGUCCCGGGUUCGAUUCCCGGUCAAGGGCA